rnacentral:rRNA from 1 species
CCACCUUUGACAUGUACGGAAUCCUUUAGAGAUAGAGGAGUGCUCGAAAGAGAACCGUAACACAGGCGCUGCAUGGCUGUCGUCAGCUCGUGUCGUGAGAUGUUGGGUUAAGUCCCGCAACGAGCGCAACCCUUGUCAUUAGUUGCUACAUUUAGUUGGGCACUCUAAUGAGACUGCCGGUGACAAACCGGAGGAAGGUGGGGAUGACGUCAAGUCCUCAUGGCCCUUAUAGGUGGGGCUACACACGUCAUACAAUGGAUGGUACAAAGGGUCGCCAACCCGCGAGGGGGAGCCAAUCCCAUAAAGCCAUUCGUAGUCCGGAUCGUAGUCUGCAACUCGACUACGUGAAGUCGGAAUCGCUAGUAAUCGUGGAUCAGAAUGUCACGGUGAAUACGUUCC